rnacentral:rRNA from 1 species
UGUUGGUAAGGUAAUGGCUUACCAAGGCGACGAUCAGUAUCUGGUUUGAGAGGAUGAUCAGACACACUGGAACUGAGACACGGUCCAGACUCCUACGGGAGGCAGCAGUGGGGAAUUUUCCGCAAUGGGCGAAAGCCUGACGGAGCAAUCUCGCGUGAGGGAUGACGGCCUAUGGGUUGUAAACCUCUUUUUUCAGGGAGGAACAAAAUGACGUGUACCUGAAGAAUAAGCAUCGGCUAACUCCGUGCCAGCAGCCGCGGUAAGACGGAGGAUGCAAGUGUUAUCCGGAAUCACUGGGCGUAAAGCGUCUGUAGGUGGUUUAGUAAGCCAACUGUUAAAUCUUGAAGCUUAACUUCAAAAUCGCAGUCGAAACUACUAGACUAGAGUAUAGUAGGGGUAAAGGGAAUUUCCAGUGGAGCGGUGAAAUGCGUAGAUAUUGGAAAGAACACCGAUGGCGAAGGCACUUUACUGGGCUAUUACUGACACUCAGAGACGAAAGCUAGGGUAGCAAAUGGGAUUAGAUACCCCAGUAGUCCUAGCCGUAAACAAUGGAUACUAGAUGUUGAACAGAUCGACCUGUGCAGUAUUAAAGCUAACGCGUUAAGUAUCCCGCCUGGGAAGUAUGCUCGCAAGAGUG